rnacentral:tRNA from 1 species
GCCUGGGUAGCUCAAUCAGUUGAGCACCCGACUUCAGCUCAGGUCAUGAUCUCAUGGUUUGUGAGUUCGAGCCCCGCCUUGGGCU